rnacentral:lncRNA from 1 species
GAACACAAAAUGGCGACACGUGGUUAGCAUUCGUCGCCAACGAGAAAUUGGGGUCGGCCCGAAAGCUCUAGAAUGCACCCCUCUUCCUCCCCGGGGCCUUCCACCUCCGCGAGUUUUAUGACUUAAAAAAGCCCACAGGCUGGUCUGAAGGUCGGAGGCCUAAUUUUAACGCGUUUUCCUCCCUUUAAUUUGAAACGGGAACGCGAAUGACUGUAAAAUAGGAAGACAAACAUAAAGAUGAAGUGCUUAAUUCAAGGUCACACAAUGUCGGGGAUGGACCUCCAGAUUUCCUUACUGACCUGCAUUAUCUUGUGGAUACCUGAGUGAAUUCCACACCACCCAUUUUAUAGAUGAAACCACUGAGACAUGGAGCAAUUGACUGAGUAGUCACUGCCCCACCCCUGCCUGGAGCCUCACACAUGACUCGCCUCCUCUCAGUGACCACAGGUGAGACGUGGUCUUGUAACACAGUGGUUAAGAAUGUGACUUUGGAGCCAGCCUGCUAGGGGCUGAAUUCUGACUCAGCCAUUUACUAACUGUGUGACCUUAGGGAGGAGGACCUGGUUGAUAGAAGAAUUUAUCUCGUAGUCUUAACAUCCACUGUAAUUCCAAACUUUGAGGACGAUAGAGAUCAGUGGGCUUUGACUGCCCAGCAUGCAGUCUCCAUU